AGGACGUGGUGAACAACAAGCUGACACCGACUAUGCUGAGAUAGAAGACGGGUGUGUGUUCAAACCCACACAAGGCGGAUCGAACAUAUAUGAUCUUACAUACGCCGCCAUCCAUCAUACUCAACCAGCGGGAAACAAGACCGAGGUAUCUCGGCCCAACCAGUCCAUUUAUUCCUUCAUCAACACGAAUGAAUAAGAAAAUCCACAGGAGCAAAUAAAGAGCACAUCAUCGAAUCUUCCUGCUAACAGGACAUUGAUCCAAUAACUGUGUAUUUAGUACAGUAUGAUUAAUUAUCAGUUUAACUUUUAACUUUUCAUAAAAAACAACACAGACAUGAGAACUACAUCAGUGUUGUUUGUUUCUGUUUUUUUGCUUUUUUUGCUUUUAUUCGUUGCUUGU